GUCGAACGGUGAAGCCCAGCUUGCUGGGUGGAUCAGUGGCGAACGGGUGAGUAACACGUGAGCAACCUGCCCUCCACUUCGGGAUAAGCCUUGGAAACGAGGUCUAAUACCGAAUAUGAGCGCCUGCCGCAUGGUGGGUGUUGGAAAGUUUUUCGGUGGGGGAUGGGCUCGCGGCCUAUCAGCUUGUUGGUGGGGUGAUGGCCUACCAAGGCGUCGACGGGUAGCCGGCCUGAGAGGGCGACCGGCCACACUGGGACUGAGACACGGCCCAGACUCCUACGGGAGGCAGCAGUGGGGAAUAUUGCACAAUGGGCGAAAGCCUGAUGCAGCGACGCCGCGUGAGGGAUGACGGCCUUCGGGUUGUAAACCUCUUUCAGCAGGGAAGAAGGCCUUCGGGUGGACGGUACCUGCAGAAGAAGCGCCGGCUAACUACGUGCCAGCAGCCGCGGUAAUACGUAGGGCGCAAGCGUUGUCCGGAAUUAUUGGGCGUAAAGAGCUCGUAGGCGGUCUGUCGCGUCUGGUGUGAAAACCCGAGGCUCAACCUCGGGCUUGCAUCGGGUACGGGCAGACUAGAGUGCGGUAGGGGAGACUGGAAUUCCUGGUGUAGCGGUGGAAUGCGCAGAUAUCAGGAGGAACACCGAUGGCGAAGGCAGGUCUCUGGGCCGCAACUGACGCUGAGGAGCGAAAGCAUGGGGAGCGAACAGGAUUAGAUACCCUGGUAGUCCAUGCCGUAAACGUUG
rnacentral:rRNA from 1 species